CUCUCUACCCAUCCCACUGCUAACAAGCUCCAACCUCGAUGCCGCCGACCUCCACCAUCCAUGCCGCCAACCUUCACUCUCCAUGCCAUGGCUUCCCUUCUUCCUUUCCCAGCCAUUCCCUUCCUCUUCCCUUUCGCCCAUCUCCACCCCUACAUUUUGGGUACCCCGUUCCCCACCACCAUGGCCAUGGCCACUUCUCCUUGACCCACUUCACCUCCUCCUUUCUUCUUCCUUACUCAAAUCCCAUCCUUUCUCUUCCAAAAUUUCAAACCCAAAAAUACAACCCAAAACCCUAGCCCCUACCCAAAGCAAGGAGGUGGUGGGCCAAUUAUGGGUGAUUUAUGGGGCUUGAAGGGUCUUAUUGAAGAAGGAAGAGAAUGAAACACCUGGAUGGACGCAUUUGAAGCUUCCAGGUCAAGCUCCUUCUCCUCGUUGUGGUCAUACUGUGACCUCCGAAGGGCACUAUGUAAUGACAUCUUCAGCAGCCUUUAUAUUCUUCUUGUUGAUUUCUGUUCAUGUGCUGUUGUGUCGAUGCUGAAACUUUUUUCCUUAUAAUUCCUUAAAUGUUACUGCUAAAAUUUUUUCUUUGCAGCUGUUGUUAUUUGGAGGUCAUGGGAUUGUUGGUUGGUUGAGUCGUUAUGACAUUUUUUACAAUGACAGCAUUGUUUUAGAUUGAGACCAAAGGGUUAAGAAGAUGACAACUCAAAUAGCUGAUUUGGAGGAGAAAUGCCGUGGUUUUGAAGCCUUGAAAGUUGAAGUGAGUUUGAUGAAGAAAAUGUUUUCUCAAAUGAGUCCACUAUUUACUUUCACUCAGGAUGGUGAUGAUGAUGUAGUGGAUGUCCAUUCUCCAUGUGAUGUGGAUUUAUCAUCCUGUGACAGACAUUAGGAAACAUGCAGAUUGUGGGUUUUAUCUUGUA